rnacentral:rRNA from 1 species
UAGGGAAUCUUCGGCAAUGGACGCAAGUCUGACCGAGCAACGCCGCGUGAGUGAAGAAGGUUUUCGGAUCGUAAAACUCUGUUGUUAGAGAAGAACGUCAGUGAGAGUGGAAAGUUCACUGAGUGACGGUAUCUAACCAGAAAGAGACGGCUAACUACGUGCCAGCAGCCGCGGUAAUACGUAGGUCCCGAGCGUUGUCCGGAUUUAUUGGGCGUAAAGCGAGCGCAGGUGGUUUAAUAAGUCUGAUGUAAAAGGCAGUGGCUCAACCAUUGUGUGCAUUGGAAACUGUUAGACUUGAGUGCAGUAGAGGAGAGUGGAAUUCCAUGUGUAGCGGUGAAAUGCGUAGAUAUAUGGAGGAACACCGGUGGCGAAAGCGGCUCUCUGGACUGUAACUGACACUGAGGCUCGAAAGCGUGGGUAGCAAACAGG